rnacentral:misc_RNA from 1 species
GAUGAAGAACGUAGCGAAAUGCGAUAAGUAGUGUGAAUUGCAGAAUUCAGUGAAUCAUCGAAUCUUUGAACGCACAUUGCGCCCGCUAGUAUUCUGGCGGGCAUGCCUGUCCGAGCGUCAUUUCAACCCUCAAGCCCCCGGGCUUGGUGUUGGGGAUCGGCGAGCCUCCGCGCCCGCCGUCCCCUAAAUCUAGUGGCGGUCUCGCUGUAGCGUCCUCUGCGUAGUAGCACACCUCGCACUGGGAAACAGCGCGGCCACGCCGUUAAACCCCCAACUUCUGAACGUUUGACCUCGGAUCAGGUAGGAAUACCCGCUGAACUUAAGCAUAUCAAUAAGCGGAGGA